ensembl:lncRNA
GGUAGAAUUAGAGUAAUUUAUUGCUUACAUUUAUUUAAUGUGUUACACUUUUGUUCACCAAUGACACCCAGACUCUAUUGUGUUAAUGUUUUAAGCAGUGGUAUGCAAUAAACAAUGUAAGUGUUUAAAGUAAAUAUUCCUUUUUUUUUCCUUCAAAGUGUAUUUUUUAGUAUCAAUGGCAUUUUAUUUGGCUGUUAAUGGGAGUAUGUGUUCUGUUCAUUCUCCUUUAAAGUUACAGAUUCUCUCACCCUUCUCAGAGGUCAUAUAAAGUCCCAGGACCUUUAUGAAGGCUUGGCCCAUUUUCCUCUGACUCUUGUCAGUUUCCCAUACAGUAGUAUUUCUGAACUUCCUUGAUCCUUUCUGUUUUGAGAGGACAGCAUUUUCCUCAUCCAUGUUCUUAUUGUUGAGUCCUCUAUUUCCUUGUUUUUCAUGGAGACUGUGGUAGCAUCCUCAAUUCUUUGCUCUCCUCAAAGACAAUAUAUAGCAUUAUUUCACAUCAGAUGGAUGCACAUCACAAAAUUUAUUUGCUAUUAACGAUACACCUUGGGGUUUUUCUUUCAUUUCCAUAAGGUUCUCCCUCACACAGAAUCAUGUGCUCCUCCUCUUCUUCCACUAUGAUGAUGUACUCUUCCCUCCUGGGACUUUUCUGUGCCACAUCUUCUUCCCAUUAGCAUACUCUUCUCACACAGUUCCCUCUUCCUUCUUCUAAGAAGGAAUCUCUUCUUGAUGCCAGAAGUGAGAGGGCUCCAUUGGUCACCUGUUUCACUCAGACCGCUGCCCUGGCUUCCCUCAGCAUGAGUGAGCCCAACCUGAUCAUGGCUUCUGGGAACACAGAACUCCGUACAUCCGGACGCUUUACACCCGGACAACGCCAAGGAGCAGCUAGGUGGCGUACGGCAAAGAUCCAAGAUGAGGCGACUCAAAGCGGGGCUGGGGAUUUUGCAGGGCUGUGAGCUGGCGAGUGGCCGCCGGGCGGAACGGAGCGAGCACCAGGGCGGCGGCUGCCCGACCGGGCCUCGCAGCCCCACUGCCGCCUAGCCUCCAUCCCGCGGGCCGACCCUGCCCGCGGAGCGCUACGGGCAGCGGCCGGGGGCGAG